rnacentral:rRNA from 1 species
AUGCCGCGGUGAAUACGUUCCCGGGCCUUGUACACACCGCCCGUCACACCAUGAGAGUCGGGAACACCCGAAGUCCGUAGCCUAACCGCAAGGAGGGCGCGGCCGAAGGUGGGUUCGAUAAUUGGGGUGAAGUCGUAACAAGGUACC